GCAUAUCAAUAAGCGGAGGAAAAGAAACUAACAAGGAUUCCCCUAGUAACUGCGAGUGAAGCGGGAAAAGCUCAAAUUUAAAAUCUGGCAGCCUUUGGUUGCCCGAGUUGUAGUCUGGAGAAGUGUCUUCCGCGCCAGCCCGUGUACAAGUCUCUUGGAACAGAGCGUCAUAGAGGGUGAGAAUCCCGUCUUUGACACGGACUACUGGUGCUUUGUGAUGCGCUCUCAAAGAGUCGAGUUGUUUGGGAAUGCAGCUCAAAAUGGGUGGUAAAUUCCAUCUAAGGCUAAAUAUUGGCGAGAGACCGAUAGCGAACAAGUACCGUGAGGGAAAGAUGAAAAGCACUUUGGAAAGAGAGUUAAACAGUACGUGAAAUUGUUGAAAGGGAACCGCUUGAAGUCAGUCGCGUCGUCUAGAACUCAACCUGGCUUUUGCUUGGUGCACUUUCUAGUUGACGGGCCAACAUCAGUUUUGACUGUCGGAAAAAAGCCUUUGGAAUGUGGCACCUACGGGUGUGUUAUAGCCUUUGGUUGUAUACGAUGGUUGGGACUGAGGACCGCAGCACGCCUUUAUGGCCGGGAUUCGUCCACGUACGUGCUUAGGAUGUUGGCGUAAUGGCUUUAAGCGACCCGUCUUGAAACACGGACCAAGGAGUCUAACAUGCCUGCGAGUGUUUGGGUGGUAAACCCGAGCGCGUAAUGAAAGUGAAAGUUGGGAUCCCUGUCGUGGGGAGCACCGACGCCCAUACCAGAACUACUGUGACGGAUAUGCGGUUGAGCAUGUAUGUUGGGACCCGAAAGAUGGUGAACUAUGCCUGAAUAGGGUGAAGCCAGAGGAAACUCUGGUGGAAGCUCGUAGCGAUUCUGACGUGCAAAUCGAUCGUCAAAUUUGGGUAUAGGGGGCGAAAGACUAAUCGAAACCAUCUAGUAGCUGGGUCUGCGAG
rnacentral:rRNA from 1 species